rnacentral:tRNA from 1 species
UUAGGGAGACCCAACCAAUUUUAGAUUUGAGAUUUUGGAUUUGGAGUUUGAAAAACAAUCAAUCCAAAAUCAGCAAUCAGCAAUCAAAAAUCUAAAAUUGAGUCAUCCCAGGUCGGUCGCAGGAUUGAGACAUGGCUUUCAAACUAUCAAAUGGUUCGGAUUGUGGGCUAUUAGCUCAGGUGGUUAGAGCGCACCCCUGAUAAGGGUGAGGUCCCUGGUUCGAGUCCAGGAUGGCCCACCUGAAGCAAGUAAAAAGAGCAAAGUCAAAAGUAAAAAGAAAAAUAUAGUUUCUUUUGCCUUUGAAUUUAGAAGUUUUGUAUUGUUGAUGGGGGUUUAGCUCAGUUGGUAGAGCGCCUGCUUUGCAAGCAGGAUGUCAGGAGUUCGAGUCUCCUAACCUCCACCUGUACUGACAAUGAAGCAAUCAAAAAUCGAGAACUCCCACAAAGGUGGAAGUGUGAAAUGAAGGAUUGUGGAUACUGUGUCAGGCGUGCAAAGAUGAAAAAUCCAGUCUGAAGCCUAGCAUCUGAAUGAAAAUAUUCAGGCUGCUGGGGAAAGAGCCAGCCAGAACCUUGAAAACUGCAUAGAGAAGCGAAAGAAGGUAGUAGUUGAGAGUUGAGACAGAGUAGUUGUAAGAGAAAAGCUAACAACGAAGUGAAAGAACUCAACAAUCAACCAAAUCCAGAACCAAUGUAGAGU